CUGGGCGCGGGCCAAUCAGCGGGACUGGCGGGCGCGCGGGGACUGUUGGGCUCCUCAGAGGGUUUGAUGUUCAAGUUUGGGUAGGGCUCGGGCUGGGUUCCGGCUGCUACAGGAGGGAAAGGCGGGAGCCGGGGCGUCAGGGCCUGCGGACGAUGUGUGUGUGAAAGGGCGCGUCAGCCAUAAGAAGCCAUACGCGUGCGAGCCGGUCCCCACUGCCCCCGCGGCGUUGUCACCAUCAUCAUGAGGCCACUGGAGCAGCCUCGGGCGCUGCUGACGGGGAUCCGGGCGCGGGGUGCGUCGGGCUCUGCAGGUUGGCACUCACACCCAGCGCGCAGGAUGGCAGGCAAGUGCGUCCUGAAUCCUGCCCGCGGGCACCCGACACCGCGUCUGUGAGUUCCCGGCCCGGCAUUGCUGCAUUACCUGUACGUAGGCAGAACUCUUGACCGCCACCCACAGGAACCUCACUUGUAUUGGCAUAAGCACAAAAACGCAACUGGUGGUUCCACAUAACGGAAAAUAUCAGAAGUAGGCCUUCAGGCAUGGAUGUGUCCAGGAAUAGCACAUUUCAAACCUACAAGAAAGAAGUGUGCCUCCCAGGUCAUUCGAUGCACCCUGGCCCCUGGGCCAUCUGCUGUGAGUGCCAGACCAGAUUCGGGGGCCGCCUACCUGUGCCCAGGGUGGAAGCAGCACUGCCUUACUGGGUCCCUCUGUCCCUGAGACCCCGAAAGCAGAGUCAAAAGAUGGUUCAGUUUUAUAUCCCCCGAACCACCAAGAUGUGCCCCUGCCUAUGCCAUCGCUUUGGGGGCCGCCUCCCGAUGCCUAGGGACCAGGCAGUGAUGCCCUACUGGGUGCCCCAGGUUCUGAGGUCUCAGCAGCAGAUGGUCAGGAGGCAGGAGAGUUGGAAAGGCAUCCAAGCACCCCCGCUGGAUGCAUGCUCCUGGCACAACUGCUGGCGGAUCUGUGGUGACGCGCACCUGCUGCCCAAGUGCCAGCAGCUCCGGGCCCCCGACCAGGACGAGCUACCGGCUCCCCCAGUGUGUCUGCUGCGCCUUGCCCUCCUGACCCUCCUCCAGGCCAUCCCGAGGGUCAUUGUGGCCAUUCGCCAGUUUUUUGGGGUUUGAAGCUGGAAUCUUCAGCUACUGUCAAGAAUAUCCACAAAAAUAUGUCACAAUCAAGAUCUUUAACGAGAGUCCUCCAAUCAGGAGGCGUCUGUGACAGCCGCUGUUUUCUCAUAGAACAGAAUCCACACCCAGGAUUCAACCCAAAUUAUUUCUCAUCAGGGGGGACUUGUCCCCAUCUCCGUGUCCCUGGGGGAGGGCAGCCAUUUCCGAGUGUCUCUUCAGGGACAGCAGAUCCACUGGACAAGGGUCCGAAAAUGGUUUCAGCACCUGUGUCAGGAAUUGCUUAAUUCUGAAAGUCUCAUGAGAAGACAUGGCAAGAAGUGGAGUCAAGCACACAGCACAAUGGCAGAGAAAAGAAGAGCGGUGGGUGGCUA